rnacentral:lncRNA from 1 species
CCUCUAUUUUGCAUGUCAGUUGCUGACACAACAUGGCCACAGCUGAGUGGUGUAAGUCCGUGCCCGGAAACCCAACCCAGGCUGGCUGAAGCAGAGUGUACCAAACUAAACCAUUAGGCCAUGGGAUUGGCCCCAAAAUUGGGGAAUUUUGUGGGGAAAUGUGGACACAGAGAGAGGGAAGAAAAGUGAAGACGCAGGGAGAAGAUGGCUCCGUGACUGAGUGACUCAUCUGCAAACUGAAGAAUGCCUAGGCCUGCCAGAAGCUAGGAGAGAGGCCUGGAAAACGUCCUUCCCCAGGGCCUUCGGAGGGAGCAUGGCCUUUCUAAGCCUUGAUUUUGGACUUCCAGCCUCCAAACUUGUGAGACAAUAAAUUUCCAUUAUUCUAAGCAACCCAGUUUAUGGUACUUUGUUACUGCAGCCCUUAGCCAACUAAUACAGAGCCUUUGAUCAAAUCUGGACCAGGAUUAAGAGGGUUUUAGAUCGCUUUCCUAUUUCCAUUACAGGGAGCAAGUUCCUUUAGGCUUUUACCCUUUUUCUGGCAACUCUAAGCCAGCACUUCAUAUAAAAUAGCCAGAGAGAAAGCCCACUCUAUGUAGAGUUUAUGAAGAUCACUUUCUCACACUAUCCUUUUUCAAAAAUCCAUCACUUUGAAUUAAGAAAAUAAUCCCGUGAAGAAAACCUUGGAAAUAUUUCCUACAAUCAAUAAUUAGCCAAUUGCCUUAGUUUCCUAUAACUGCUAUAAUAAAAGAGGUCUCUCUCCUCCCUUUUUGUUUCUGUUGCUUCAUCACUGUUACUGUCUUUGAACCUCCUACCUCCCUCUUAUAAAGGCCCUUGUGAUUACAUUGAGCUCAGCCCGAUAAUCCAGAAUAACCUCCUCAUCUCAAGAUUGUUAACAUCAUACCUUCAAAGUCCUUUUUGCCAGGUAAGAUAAAGUAUUCACAGACUCUGAAGAUUAGGAUGUAGACAUCUUUAGAGGACCAUUAUUCAGUCUACGACAACAGUAAGUACCCCCUUUGCAAAAUAUGUUGCUAUAAAUACCAAUUAAAUCUUGAAAGAAACUUUUCAAAAGCUGGUCUUUUAAAAUUGUUCCUAAAGAAAUAGCUGGGAAAAAAAAUACAGAUUUAAUAGAACUGCUACACCUUUUCUAUGAUAAUCCAUUCAUUUAUUCAGUAGAUAUUUAUUUUUAAAAGUGCCAUGUUUCCAGCACUUUCUCGGUUUCUCCUCAUGGAACUUACAUCAUAGUAGAGGGAGGAAAUUACAAUAACUAAACAAAAAAAUAAGUGCUAUAGUUUCCAGGCCCUGUGAAAUAAAGUUGAGUGAAGGAAGAUAAUUACUAUUUGGGACAAGGAUAUUUCUCUAAAGAAAGUGACAUUGGUACAGUCUUGAAUUAAAUGAGAGAGAAGACAAAGUGAAUACUUGUGUGUAGAUAUUUCUGGGGAGGAACAUUUCUAUUAGGAGGUUCUUUGCGUCAAAAACAUACUAUUCUUAAGUGAAUAAUAAUUUACUAUAUCGUAAUAAAAAUAAGAAAUUUCUCUUAAUCUGUUGUCGUACCAGAUAUAACCUAAGGGAUCCUGACGCAAAAUAAAAAAUGAGGAUGCUCUCUCACAGGUACGACGUGGAAACAGACUCAGAUAGAAUCAACUCCAUAAUUUUCAAAAGGAGAAGAGUUCAGUCAUUAAAUUCUUUACUCAUUAAGGUGAGGCUCAGAUUCAGAAGCCAAGACUCUAAAAAAUUCUCUCUCUCUCUCUCUCAAUAUAUAUACAUACAAUUUCUGUAUCUAGAAGGGUAGUUUGUUGACAUUCUUGUCUAUGAAGAGGGAAAGUUAAUUGUAUAUAAAAGCUCAUACUUUUAUUAAACUAUUGAUUUGUAUAUAGUUAUAGGAUAUCAGAUAUUACAAAAGUUAAUGUAUAUCUGGUUUGAAAUAGAUACACUCAGAUAAACCAAGAUUUUUUCUUUUUUAAUGGCAGUAUUGGAGUAUAACUUACACACCAGGAAGUUUAUUUUCUUGUUUUAAGUGUCUGUGGAAAUUUGUUAUGUUACAGAUGACCUGUAAGUAGAGACGGAUAUUCCUAAGAGUAAUGAAAUGGUCAAUGUUCAAAGGUUUUACAAUCUAGCUGGAGAAAUAAGCAUGAGUACCACUACCAAAAAUGUAAUAAUACAGAUAUUAUUACAAUUCAAAUAAGGUAUAAUAGUCUUUUGGCUAUUUUCUUAAGUAAUUCUUUUUUUGUUUUUAUCUUCUUACCUCCUUCACCCAUUUCUACUACCCCCUACCCCCUGCCGCUGGCAACCACCAAUCUGUUCUCUGUAUCUGUGAGCUUGUUUUGUUUUGCUUUUAAAUAUUCCACAUACGAGAGAUCAUAUGGUAUUUGUCUUUCUCUGUCUGACUUAUUUCACUUAUUAUAAUGCCCUCAAGUUCCAUUAAUGUUGUAGCAAAUGGCAAGAUUUCUUUCUUUUUAUGGCUGAAUAAUAUUCCGUUGUGUGUGUAUACAAUUUCUUUAUCUAUUCAUCAUUGAUGGUUACUUACGUUGUUUCCAUAUCUUGGCUACUGUAAAUAAUGCUGCAAUGAUUGUAGGAGUGCAUAUUUUUCAAAUUAGUGUUUUUGUUUUCUUUGGAUAAGUACCCAGAAGUGAAAUUGCUGGAUCAUAUGGUAGUUCUAUUUUUAAUUUUCUGAGGAACCUCAAUACUGUUUUCCAUAGUGGCUACACCAUUUUACAUUCCCACCAGCAGUGCAAGAGGCUUCCCUUUUCUCUACAUCCUCUCCAACACUUAUUUCUUGUCUUUUUGAUAAUAGCCAUUCUAACAGGUGUUAGAGAUGUUGAGCACCUUUUCAUGUGCUAAUUGGCCAUCUGUGUGUCUUCUUUGGAAAAUGUCUAUUCAGAUCCUCUGCCCAUUUUUUAAUCAGAUUGUUGUUUUUUUUGCUAUAAAGUUGUAUGAGUUUUUAAUAUAUUUUUGGAAAUUAUACCCUGACCAGAUAUAUGUGGUUGCAAAUGUUUUCUCCCAUUCUGUAGGUUGUAUUUUCACUUUGUUGAUGAUUUCCCUUGUUGUGCAAAAGCUUUUUAGUUUGAUCUAGUCCAACUUGUUUAUUUUUGCUUUUGGUGUGAGAUUCAAAGAAUCAUCACCGAGAGCUAUGUCAAGGAGCUCCACUACCUAUAUUUUCUUCUGAGAGUUUUAUGGUUUCUGGUCUCAUGUUCAGGACUUUGAUCCAUUUUGAGUGGACUUUUCUAUAAGAUGUAAGAUAGCGGUCCAGUUUCAUACUUUUGAAUAUGGCUGUCCAGUUUUCCCAGCACCAUUUCUUGAAAAGACUGUCCUUUCGUUUUUGUAUAUUCUUGGCUCCUUUGUCAUAAAUUGAUUGACAUAUAAGCAUGGUUUAUUUCCUGGCUCUCUAUUCUGUUCCAUUGAUCUUUGUGUCUGUUUUUAUGCCAAUAUAAUAUUGUUUAAUUACUAUAGCUUUGUAAUAUAGUUUGAAAUCAGGGAGCAUGAUGCACCCAACUUUGAUCUUUCUCAAAAUUGUUUUGGCUAUUUGGGGUUUUUUGUAGUCCCAUACAAAUUUUAGGAUUGUUUGUUCUAUUUCUGUGAAAAACCCCAUCAGAAUUUUGAUAAGGAUUGCAUUUAAUCUGUGGAUUGCUUUCAGUAGUAUGGACAUUUUAACAAUAUUUAUUCUUCUAAUCCGUGAACAUGCAAUAUCUUCCCAUUUGUUUGUGUCUUCUUCAAUUUCUUUCAUUAAUGUCCUCUAGUUUUCAGUGUACAGGUCUUUAACCUCCUUGGUUAAAUUUAUUCCUAAGUAUUUUAUUCUUUUUGAUGCAAUUGUAAAUGAGAUUGAGUAUAGCUGUAGUAGAUUAGAUAUUACAAAAGUUAAUUAUAUCUGGUUGAAUAUAGAGACACUCAAAUAAACCAAGACUUUAAAUUACAUGGUAUAUCAUUUUGAAAAGUAAGGAUUAUCCAAAAGCCUGCAAUCCAUUCUUUCCAUUUACCAGAUUAUCCAGAAAGAAAAGGAAAAAUGCAACCUGAUCGAUUUGCUAAACAAAAUGCUAAAAAGUAUUUGCUAAUGGAACAGUCACUAACUUUGAAAUGAUUUUAGUAGAAUGUAUUUACUCUAUCUAGAUUUGUUUGUGAUAAACAAACUUGAGAACUAUGGAGUUAUUGAAUAUAUCAUCUAUUAUGUCAGUCAGUAUCAGAUUUAGCAACCAUGGAAAUGGUUGACAGAUGCAGAAUAAUGCCCCCCAUCCCCCAACAAAAGACAUCCGUGGACUGAUCCAUGAAACUUGAGAAUGUUACCUUACAUGGGCAAUGGGGAAUGAAGAUUCCAGAUGGCAUUGAAGUUCCUAAUCAGAUGACCUUAAAAUAGGGAGAUUAUCUGUUUUUGGAUUUGAAGAUGGAGGAAGGAUUUCACAAGCCAAGGAAUGCUACUGACUUCUAGAACCUGGAGAAAGCAAGGAAAUGGAUUUUUUUAGAGCCUUUAGCAAGGAAUGCAGCCCUGCCAACAUGUUGAUUUGAGCCUAGUGAGACCCACACUGGACUCCUAACCUACAGAACUGUAAGAUAAUACAGUUGUGCUAUUUUAAGCCCUAAGUUUGUGGUGAUUUGUUACAGCAUCCAUAGAAAUGAAUCUAAUAUUUCAUGAUCAAAAUGACUUAUUUUGUGUAAGUGAUGAUACAUAGAGCUCUGAGAGAACUCAUUUGCUAAAUCAGAUUUAGCCAGGCUAUGUCCUGAUGCAGAAAAGAAGCACCUUGAGACCUGUAUUGGCAAUCCAAUACUUUCUGCUUCAUCUCUGCCUCAUGGUUACUUAUAUCCUUGAAAUUAGUAGUAAAAUGUGAUACUGUGUAAAAUCUCUUAUUCCUGUGAGUCUGAUUUAGCACACCAAUUGUUUAUAUUUUCUCAUUGCCUGAUUUUUUUCUAAAUAAGAACUAUCAAUGAUAUAUUAUUAUUCAAUUCAGUAAGUGUUUAUUUGGCAGAUACCGUGUCCUAGUAGAGAAUUAGAUAGUAUGUAAAUGCAUAAUAAGUGAAUGAAAUAAUUACUGUUUCAGGGAACUUACAAUCUACUUGAAUCAUUUCAAUUACAGCUCCAUAGAUAUCAGAACAUCAUUUGAAGAUGCUUGUUUCUCCUCUGCCCAAGAUGAGAGUCAAAACAAUUUUUGAAAAAAUCAACACAGCUUUGCCAUAAUUCAGAAGGAGUCAUACCAGAUCUUCAAUGAAUCAUAUCUCUGCCAAUAAUAUCAGUAAUAAUAGCUUUCCCCAGAUAUUCAUGCCUGCCAAGCCUAUUCAGAAAAGUACUUAAGCAUUCCUGGAUUCAUGGUGAACAAGCAGAGCCUCAUUCCCUGUAAUCAUACAAAAUAGACUCUUUCAUUUGCUGAACAGCGUGAUGCGGGAUUGCGGCAACCGUACGUACUGCUUCUUGAAGAAAGGUCUCCAGGCCCAGGUGAAGUACACAAACCAACAUUUGUGCUGCUUUACUAGGGUAAAGCUUUGCCAUCCACAGUUCCUGACUAAUGGCCAGCGCUACUUCUCUAGUCAUAGCAAGAGCCAGGGUUGCUCUGCUGGCCCCCUGGAAACAGCCCUGCCUCCAAUGAUCUCUGAUGGGCAAACAUCACAGCUUCACCUUGCUGUCAAGAACAACUGUAGUUUGCUGGGUUGAGUCAGCAGAAUGCAACAAGGGGAAGAUUCCCACCAUUCUGGAGUAAACUCUUUCAAAGCAAUGUUGGGUUUUUCUCAAUGAUUUACGAAUAGCUUUUUUGAAAUUUUCUUAUAGUCCCUUACAUGUACACAGGGCAAGACCAAAGCCAAAUUAAAGAAAUAGAAAUCAUAAACUCUGAAGAAUCUCUAUUCCUCUUUGGAUUACUAAGAAUUUGUUUCUCAGUUGAUGCUAUUUUGCUAGGCAACUUCCAAAAUUUCCUAGAGCAAAAUUUCUCUCACGACAUUUUCAGGGCCCACAUCAAUAGACUUCUGUCAGUUUAUCCCAUUAAUUUUCAGAAACACAAUUGUGGAUAUCUGGACUCUAAUAAGUGGUGCAGAUCCAAGAGAAUCUUUGCCUCCAUAUGAAUGGAAUUUUAUCAGGUUGGUCCCAUCAGAUUUCCAAAUAUGUCCAUAAAUACCUAAAAUCCUAGCAGUGUACAGAUAGAGCUAAAUUCAAAAUGAGAAGGUACCUGUUACAUUAAAAAUUAUGCGGAUGACCCAAUUUAAAUUACUCAUUUAUCAAAAUCAUCCUAUUAAUUUCCAACGUUCUUCUAUUUUUGGACCACAAUGAAAAGUAGUGCUUAAAUUUACUUCAUCUCCAGAAGAGUAAUCUGAGUCUUUGAAUGAUACUGUACAUAUCAUCUACCAGCUGCAUUUGAAAUAAAGUUGUGAAGUAUUAAAACAUGACAUUUAGGGUAGUAAAGGGUUAUGUCUAUCAUCAAUCAAUUAUAAAAAAUAAUAUAUUCCAAAUAUGAGGCUUUGUGGUCAUUUCUUCCUGCAAGUUAAAUAGUAGAUUUAGCUGUCUGAAGUCUAUUUUAGGUUGAAUUAUUUUUUUCAGGGUUUAUGAGAACUAACUAGAGUAAGAAGAGAAGGCAAAGAUACUUUUGAUGAUGGCGAGAAUGGAAAAUAAUGAACUAGAGUAAAGAAUACUUUUUGUUGAUGAUUGGAUAUAUGAGGUCACAUAAAUUUAAAUGCAGAAGCAAGUCCAGAUGUGGGCAGGAGACAGCACAAGGGCCUUAAGUACUUUGUAUAUUAUGACCGUAGAGGAUAGUAAGAAUUCCUGUGCUGUACAGAGCCAUUCUUAGUAAUCACUUCACUUGUAAUAACCACAUACUGCAUAAUGCUUAAUUAAUAACACUGUCUUAUAGCAAGAAUAAUUUUGAUGUGAGUCAAGCUGUUGUUAAUAUUUCUACAAACAAUGUUUUAGAAAGAAAGCUCUAUACUAAGGUCACAAUGAAAGCACUCUUCAGUAACCUUCGAUUCUUUUUUUAACCUACUAUACAAAAUGAUAAGAUUUGAAUUCUUUGUGAGGGCUAACUCAAGCUUCCAGAUCUUGACACUCUGAAUCCAACUUAUCAUUAAAAUUUCAUUCCUUUUUCCUUUAGUCCCAAUCAGACUGUUCUCUUUUUUGUCCUUAGAAAAAUGUGUUGCUCACUUCCAUGAAUGUGUCUACAACAUUUUUUUUUAUUCCUCGAAUGGUCACUCCUGUCUGUCCAGUUCCAAAAAUAUUCCAGCACAAUUCGUACCAGCUUCUCAAAGAAUAUCAAUAAAGACAUCCAAAAUGACAUUUUUCUCCUUGGAAAUUUUCCCACCCAUUUACUCACUGUAUCACUGCUUUAGCAGUGAAUAAUAUUAUUUUUGUGACCUUUUUUGCAUUAUUAUUUACCGUUUCAGAACUUUUUAAAACUUUCUCUUUGUAUUAUCCUAUAAUUAGAUUGUAAAACUCAGGAAAGCAGGACCUCAGUAUGCGUUUUAAUGUUAUACAACACCUUUGAACAUAAAAGCCCUAAGUAGUUAUUUAUUUUUAAAUGAAUAUGAUCCCUUCCAAUUAACGAAAAUAUGCAUACCAUUCUCCAGAGAUAAUUGUAUAACUUGGAUAAUAAUUGGUACUGUGAGAAAGAGAGAAAUGCAGGAUUGAGGUAUGGUAAAUGUUCCCCACCGAGUUUCUGUGGAGAAGAUAAACUUCAAGUAAACAUAGGGUUUAUAACCAUAAAAAAGCAAUCAAGGACUCUGAAAGUAUUGAGUUAAAGCCAGGAUAACUUUUUUUAAAUAUAGCAUGAAUUCAUCAAUUAUUUAGGCCAAUGAUGUGAAAUGGAAUCAUGAGUAUGUGAGGCCAUGCCAUAUAUAUCUUCAUGUUUCUUUCUGCCUUGAAUGCAAGGCCAGGGGGAACAUUUGCAACUAAGGAACAUCAAAUUAUUUUCAUAUUUGAAUGCCUACUGUGUUCUUAGCACCGAGUGAACACACUAGAGGACACAAAGGAAAAUGUAAUCCCGUAUUUGCUUCCUCUAGGGAGCCUGUGAUCAAAACUACCACAUUGAACUGAUUGGCUGAAUAAAUAGAAUUUGGUAACUUCAAAUCAGAUUUCAACUGAACUGAAUAAUAGCUGCGAAGAUGCUUACUAGACCACGUCCUCAGCCGGUCAUUUCCUCCCUGCCGCCCUACUUCUAUAUAUAGCACUUUCACUUCCAAUGUUCAAAAGGGCCAAGCCUAGGAAACCACUUGCUUCCGAGUCCCACGUCAUAGCUGAUCGGACUAGCAGUGCCUAUCUGACGCAAGGGGAGACAAACAGAUUCUCUCUCUCUCUGGAAUUUGAAAUUGAUACAGUGAAAGAAUAUUUUUUGUUGAUGAUUGGAUAUAUGAGGUCACAUGAAUUUAAAUGCAGAAGCAAGCAUUUCAAGGUCGCUGUGGUGAGCUGUGCGCAAGCAGGUGGGUUGCCUAAAGAAGACUUUUUGGAAAGAGAGUAGAAUUAGGCACACAGGCAAAGAGCCCACACAACCCAGAGAGGGAGUGAGCACCAUCUUGGUUCUUGAUGACUUCCCAGUUUCAUAUUCAAGUCUCUCAGGAGGCCCUGCAUAUGUUUCCCCUUUUACUCUAUGAGUCACCCCAUAUCCUUCCAAUAAGUUCCAUUAUUUUGCUUAAGCUUAAAAUUUAGUGUUUACUCUAGCUUGAUCACUGACUUAUAAAAAGUUAUAUGAGUCUAAACUGAAUUAAAGCAAUAUUUUGUACUACCCUUAUGCUAUCACAAUAAAAUGAAAGUUAUUGUUUGCAUGUUUUCCGUAAUUCAAGUAAUUGAUAGUGAUAAACACUUUUGAAAUGUCAGCUUUGAUAUCAUUACAGAAUCAUAGUGGCAUUCAACAUUCGAAAUCUUGCACUGAAUAAAAAAUUUUUGCCCAGAAUAAUUAUGUGAUAAGUAACAUCUGUUGCUCAAAUGUUGGGAUAAUCUAGCAAAUAUUGUGUAUUAAUAAGGAUUCAUGGUUCUAAGCAAUAAAACUCAACUCUAAAUGAUUCUACACAAAAAAAGGAGUUUAAUAAAAGCAUAUUGACCCAGGAAUUCUCCUCCUAGGUAUUCACUCCAAAGAAAUGAAGACACAUGUCCGCAAAGAAGACAUGUGUAUGAAUGUCCACAGUAGAUUAAUUCAUAAUAGCCCGAAACUGAAAACAAAUAAAAUACACACCAGCAGGAGAAUGAGAAAACAAAUUGUACCAUUUCAUACAAAGGAAUACCUCUCAGCAAUAAAAUAGAUGUGAAUUACUGCCCCUUGUAAUAACAUGGAUGAAUUUCAAAAAUAUUAGAUUGAGCACAAGAAGUCAGACACAAAAGGAUGUAUACCAUAUGGUUCCAUUCAUAUAAAGUUUAAAUCACCAAAACUAAUCUGUACAGAUGGAAGUAGAAUAGUGCCUCCCUCAAGGGAGGGCAUUCUGAUGACGAAGGGGCAUGGAAAACCUGUAGCAGUUAUGAAAAUAUUCUAUACAUUAAUGAGGGAUGGUUAAAUUGGUGUAUAUGUACAUUUAAGUUCUGUACAUGUUAAUCUGUGCAAAAUACAUAUCAAUGAUUAAAAAAAGCAUAUUGAGUAGCUUCCAGAAUCAUUGGGAGCUGCUGUAGACUGAAUGUUUGUGUCACCCCAAAAUUCGUAUGUUGAAACCUAAUCCUCAGCGUGAUGGUAUUUGGAGGAGAGGCGUUGAGAAGAUGGUC